rnacentral:rRNA from 1 species
GUGAACGCUGGCGGUAGGCCUAACACAUGCAAGUCGAACGGCAGCACAGUAAGAGCUUGCUCUUACGGGUGGCGAGUGGCGGACGGGUGAGGAAUACAUCGGAAUCUACUUUUUCGUGGGGGAUAACGUAGGGAAACUUACGCUAAUUCCGCAUACGACCUACGGGUGAAAGCAGGGGAUCUUCGGACCUUGCGCGAUUGAAUGAGCCGAUGUCGGAUUAGCUAGUUGGCGGGGUAAAGGCCCACCAAGGCGACGAUCCGUAGCUGGUCUGAGAGGAUGAUCAGCCACACUGGAACUGAGACACGGUCCAGACUCCUACGGGAGGCAGCAGUGGGGAAUAUUGGACAAUGGGCGCAAGCCUGAUCCAGCCAUACCGCGUGGGUGAAGAAGGCCUUCGGGUUGUAAAGCCCUUUUGUUGGGAAAGAAAAGCAGCAGGUUAAUACCCCGCUGUUCUGACGGUACCCAAAGAAUAAGCACCGGCUAACUUCGUG